UACGUAGGGUGCAAGCGUUGUCCGGAAUUAUUGGGCGUAAAGAGCUCGUAGGCGGUCUGUCGCGUCUGCUGUGAAAACUCAGGGCUUAACCCUGAGCUUGCAGUGGGUACGGGCAGACUAGAGUGCGGUAGGGGAGACUGGAAUUCCUGGUGUAGCGGUGAAAUGCGCAGAUAUCAGGAGGAACACCGGUGGCGAAGGCGGAUCUCUGGGCCAUUACUGACGCUGAGGAGCGAAAGCGUGGGGAGCGAACAGG
rnacentral:rRNA from 1 species